ACGAGUGCAGCGGCCAGAAAUCGCUAUCGCCGAUGACAAAUAUUUUGCUAUAUUCGCAUCCGCAGUUGAUUUGCAGAUGCUGUCCUCUUGCACCUUCUCAACGCUGGAAUCUUCCAAGGGGGGUAGGAGAAUGGAAUUCUUCCAAAAGUUUCAGUUCCCAAGAAAUUUGAAAAUGACGGACGGAAUGCAACUGAUCAAACAAAGGUGCAAGUACCUACUGGGUUCCCUACUUGAACAGAAGAGGUCUCUGACAAUAACUGCAAAUAAUUGGUGUUGUUGAAAGAUGGUCAGGUUGUACCUACGAUUAUUACAUUUGAUCUCCAAGUAUGAGUGCCAAAGAUACUGAUGAUGCCAGCAAAUUAAACUUAUAAUUCUGC